rnacentral:rRNA from 1 species
UAGAAUGGGAUUACCCCCUGAAUUUAAGCAUAUUAUUAAGGGGAGGAAAAGAAAGUAACAACGAUUCCCCCAGUAGCGGCGAGUGAAGCGGGAAAAGCCCA